AAUGAAACGCUUCUAUUUCUGCUAUUUUUCCAUCAUGCAACUAUUAAACCACUCUUCCUAUUUAUACUACCCAUAGAAACCCUACCUCAUUUUCUCUUGUUGCCUCUUAUUUUUCGACUUAUUUCUAAUAAUAAACUAACGUCGUCUCAUAUGUUCUAUGAAGCUUACUUUGCAAACAGCAUAGUUUUAAAUAAUUUUUUUUUUAAUUUCUUUUCAGAAUAGAGCGUAGAGUUUUACUCUAGAUUACAAACUACUCACAGCAUUUGCGGUCUUAACAAAACCCUGUACAGAAAACGUCUAAAUUUUGGCAAAGCAAUCAAAAAUUUGAAAUGAUUGGACUUUUUACUGAGCUCAAUUGGAAGCUGCUUGAAGAAUGAUAGCGAUUACUUUGAAUAGGUAUUGUCCGCCAUAGAGAGUAAUUUAUCUGUUAAUGAUACGAAGAAGGGGUGGGACAGCGUUGAUAUAAUUUCAGGCGGUGUUACAACGCAUUGCGAAACAAUGGAAUAUAGCUGAACUUCGACAGGGGUAAUAGAGCUGAGUGAGAAUAUCCGCUCCUAACACCAUAGAAGACCUAUUCGAUAGAAGGCAUAAGAUACGUAUAAAUAAGACUGAACAAUUUUGUAAUCAUUAAAAAGUGUAACUAAACUUGAUUAAAUCCGAGCAAAACCUU